rnacentral:rRNA from 1 species
UAAGACAGAGGUGCCGAGCGUUAGGCGGAAUCACUGGGCUUAAAGCGUGUGUAGGCGGAAGCGUAAGUGCCUUGUGAAAUCCCACGGCUCAACCGUGGAACUGCUGGGCAUACUGCGUUUCUUGAGCCAAUCAGGGGUCGUCGGAACAAACGGUGGAGCGGUGAAAUGCGUAGAUAUCGUUUGGAACGCCAAAGGCGAAAGCAGACGACUGGGAUUGCGCUGACGCUGAGACACGAAAGCCAGGGGAGCAAACGGGAUUAGAUACCCCGGUAGUCCUGGCCCUAAACGAUGUCCACUGGGUCGUGGCGCCUCUGACGGCGUCGCGGCCGGAGCAAAAGUGUUAAGUGGACCGCCUGGGAAGUACGGUCGCAAGGCUA